rnacentral:lncRNA from 1 species
UUAUGGUUUGGGUCGGGCAUGGCCUGCACUGGAGCCCCCCCUCACUGACCCCUCUGCUCCCAGGUCUCUAUCCUGGCCAUGAUGGCGGUGGAACUGUUUGGCAUUAUGGGGCUGAUGGGCAUCAAGCUGAGUGCCAUCCCUGUGGUCAUCCUCAUCGCUUCAGUUGGCAUCGGCGUGGAGUUCACUGUCCACGUGGCCCUGGGCUUCCUUACAGCAGUUGGGAGCAGGAACGUGC